GAGUCCAUGCCAACAAAUGCAGGCAGCAAGGACACAGAUUCUCCCUUAGAGCCUCUGGAAGAAACAUAGUUCUGCCAAUCCACUUCAGAAUACUGACCUCCAGAAAUAUAAGACUAUAAGUGGGUGCUCCUAUAUUUCCCAGGUGCUGAGGACAUAAAGAAGUAUGAGACACAGAUCCUGUUCCACUUGCUGUCCAUUUGGGAGUUGUGUCAGUUAGACUGUUUUCAUUUGCGAGAAUCAGAAAAUUCAAAAUGGCAUAAAAGUAUAUGGCACCUGGGCAAUCCUACUGCUACAUCUGCCCUCCAUGGGGGAGUGUACAGGGUCCAUCUACAGAGUCAAGAGGAGGGUGAGCAUAGACCAGUUGCCCCGCAUCUGCUGCAGGAAGAGAGACCAACUGGCCACAGAAGACUGGUGGCCCCUACUGAAGCAACUUCUCCGAAGUAGUUAUGUAUGGCCACAUGAAACAAAAUCUCAUCAAGGAAAUGCAAGCUGAGUGAUAUAAGCAAUUUCUAUAUGUAACCUUAAAGAGAGUGAUAUGUUUUCAUUCCAUCCCUUCUUCUAACAUUCAUCACCCAGAUGUGACAGGGUUUGUGAAACAAUUUGGUCCUAGGAAUGGUGAAGCAACAACUAAACAACUUUAGACAACUAAAAGACACGAAGGUCCUUGACAUCAUGGAUGGACCAUAUCAACUCUGAACUACUUAUACUAGAUUGUAGCUUAAAAAAUAAAAUCAACUUUAUUUAUUUAA